UUUCAUCUGGGUGCUUGCGUCCCCUACUAACACCCUGGUACUACCCGAACGGGACUCAGUCCGAGAAAACACUGAGAAAGAACAACUUGUCACAUGGUGCAUUGGAGACUGAUGUGUUCCUGUCCUGUCUUUUCACAAUACUACUGCAGGUAUGGUUAUAUUGUCUAAGAAUMAAGAGUACCUGUGGUACAUAUAAAGACCGUUACACCAGCAUGCUAACAUUACGUUAGCAACUGGCCAACUCAUGAAGUGCUAUCAACACCUAGCUAACAGUUACAUUAAAGUAAACUUAUGGAAAUACAUAGCCACAUCUAACCAUUAGGUUAUAUGCAGUUAACGUUAUCUUAGCCAACCAGUUAACAUUAGCCAUUUGAGACAGUUYGCUAGCCUAGCCAGCUAACCUUACAUCAGUGAAGACCAGCGCUGGUGCUGAACUUGUAGUGUAGGAUGCAGCUCCACAUGUAGGGAUUGUUUAUUGGUAAAAUGGCUAGCUAGUUUGCUACUGAGAAUACACCCUAUAAUGUCACGUCCUUCAUAACUACGGCUGAAUCAUGCAAAAAUAACUUGUUGUAGGUGCUCGUGCAGCAGGUGUAUUGCCAUGCCAACAGCCAUGGAGUCUGUGUGCUGUCAGGAAUACCAGGUCCACGAUGACAGAGGAAGGAGAGGGUUUUAUAAAGCAAUAUUCUAGCUUCCCCACGGUCUGUCUGGAUGUCAAUGUGCUGCACACAGCCUACAAUACAUACCGGCAGGACUACACCCAAGAACCUGACAUUCCAUACUCAACACAAGUUAAUUCAUUUAUAAAUAGAAUCUUCACAAAUCUAAUGCAAUAAUGAAAUCAAAUAAUGUUACACCACUCCCCCUACCAAUAGUAGUACACUUUUCCCUUUUUAUAAAGUUCAGACAGUUGCCUUCAGGCAGUUCAUCAGCUGGAAUUGGGGCUAUCUGGGGUGGUACAACCAUGUGCCAAUUCUAGUGUGUGCAGUCAAUGGGAUAAGAAAUAGGUUCCCAAAUUAGGAUAACAUGACCUAUAUGGGAUUCAAGUACCACGUUUUUACCUUUUUAUUAAGUUUUUUAAAUAUAUAGGUUAUACCAAUACUGGUGCAUCACUUUAGUCAUUGGUCUGUCACAUUUCACUUAGUGGUCACAGUACCCAUAAUAAUUAUAUUUUUAUUGUAUAUUAACUAACAUUUAGAAAUACAAUUAUUGUAUCUAUUUUUUUUAAACAUUUUCUUUAUGGAUGAACAAGUUCCACUGAAGGCUUGGCGCAGCAGGAGAGACGUGCAGCGAUUGGUGUGAGAAGGCUCAAGGAGCCCAAUGUCCUGUUACAGAAUAAAAGUGCUCCUUACUUUUAUCCAAUUAUCUCAGCUCAGUAAUGGGUAGUAAACAUGAGCAGACGGGGAACUCUGUGUAAAAAGCAAAAAAAACGAAUGGCAGGUACAGAUCUACUCUGGCAGAUGUGUAUUCUCAGUAGCAAAAUAGCAAGUCAUUGUGGGGGAAAAUGUUGUCUGAAGAGCUAGCAUUGAAUUGCAAACAGCAUCUCCUUGGUUCGUGUAGGUGAAUGUGACCUCCUCCUCAGACCAAUUGGCAGUACGCCCAUAARAUUGUUCAGUCACAUGCAGGAACCAACGCUAAUAAUGAAUAAUGUAUAUCAUGCUUAUAUGACUUGUUUGUAUAGCAGUAUAAAAGGACUGAGAGGGAACACCCUUUUCAGUGUUUUCAUUAAUAAGCUUGGAUUGAGUUUGUGAACCUCUCCGGCCGUGAUAAUAAAGAUUGAUUCAUUUAUAUUGA